AUGGCGAGUUUGAUCCUGGCUCAGGAUAAACGCUGGCGGCGUGCCUAACACAUGCAAGUCGAACGCCUUCUGGCAACAGAGGGAGUGGCGGACGGGUGAGGAACACGUGGGUUAUCUACCUCCGGGUGAGGAAUACCACCGGGAAACCGGUGACAAUACCGCAUACGUUUCCCUUCGCGGGGAAACAAAGCUUCGCAAGAGGCGCCGGGAGAUGAGCCUGCGGCCGAUUAGCUGGUUGGUGGGGUAAAAGCCUACCAAGGCGACGAUCGGUAGCUGGUCUGAGAGGACGAUCAGCCACACUGGGAUUGAGAACGGCCCAGACUCCUACGGGGGGCAGCAGUGAGGAAUUUUCCGCAAUGGUCGCAAGACUGACGGAGCAACGCCGCGUGCAGGAAGACGGCCUUCGGGUUGUAAACUGCUUUUCUGAGGGACGAGCAAGGACGGUACCUCAGGAAUCAGCUCCGGCUAACUACGUGCCAGCAGCCGCGGUAAUACGUAGGGAGCAAGCGUUGUCCGGAGUUACUGGGCGUAAAGCGCACGCAGGCGGUGAACCAAGUUUGGAGUGACAGUCCUCGGCUUAACUGAGGAAGUGCUUCGAAAACUGGCUCACUUGAGGGCUUCAGAGGGACAGGGAAUUCCGGGUGUAGUGGUGAAAUGCGUAGAUAUCCGGAGGAACACCAAAGGCGUAGGCACUGUCCUGGGGAGUCACUGACGCUCAGGUGCGAAAGCUAGGGGAGCGAACGGGAUUAGAUACCCCGGUAGUCCUAGCCGUAAACGAUGACCACCAGGUGUGGGAGGUAUCGACCCCUUCCGUGCCGGCGCUAACGCUUUAAGUGGUCCGCCUGGGGAGUACGGUCGCAAGAUUAAAACUCAAAGGAAUUGACGGGGACCCGCACAAGCAGCGGAGCGUGUGGUUUAAUUCGAUGCAACGCGAAGAACCUUACCAGGGCUUGACAUGGAGUUGCACCACCGAGAGAUCGGUGUCCCUUCGGGGCGGCUCCACAGGUGCUGCAUGGCUGUCGUCAGCUCGUGUCGUGAGAUGUUGGGUUAAGUCCCGCAACGAGCGCAACCCCUAUCGUCGGUUAUACGUGUCCGGCGAGACUGCCGCGAUCAACGUGGAGGAAGGCGGGGAUGACGUCAAGUCAGCACGGCCCUUACGUCCUGGGCGACACACACGCUACAAUGGCCACGACAAAGGGUCGCCAACCCGCGAGGGGGAGCUAAUCCCAGCAAACGUGGUCUCAGUUCAGAUUGUAGGCUGCAACCCGCCUGCAUGAAGUUGGAGUUGCUAGUAACCGUGGGUCAGCACACCACGGUGAAUACGUUCCCGGGUCUUGUACACACCGCCCGUCACACCACGAAAGUCGGCAACACCUGAAGCCGCUGGGCUAACCCGUAAGGGGGGCAAGCGUCGAGGGUGGGGUCGGUGAUUGGGGUGAAGUCGUAACAAGGUAGCCGUACCGGAAGGUGCGGCUGGAUCACCUCCUUUCUAGG
rnacentral:rRNA from 1 species